AAAGGGGCUGUGUUCCAGAGAUAGCCAAGGUUGUACUAUAACUAUAGGUUAGUCACAGGUUGUACUGUGCUAUAGCUGAACUUGGUAAAGUGUAAGAGUCACCUGGGUGGUACUGGUUUUGAAAACAUAAAGGGGUCAUGAAGAGCAGCUGAGACUUGGCACUGUGAGGUGGUAUGGAAGGUCAUUGAUGAAGGUGCAGCCUCAGUUGCCAUCAGCCCCAGGACUGAAGGGGUCAUGCAAAGGAGUUGAGGCUUGACACAAUGAAGAAGUCUAUGAGAGGCUAUUGGUGAAGUCUAGGUGCAGCUGGAAAAUAGCAGUGUUUUGGAGUACCAUGAGAUGACUACCAAGAACAGCAGCAGCAGUGGAGUCCGGGCAGCUGGAGCCUAGACGACAAGCUGUGUGGUACAGAACUGAAGAAAUGACCCAAGCCUUUAGAAGAUCAUUAGUGGAUCCCAGACAUUGGACAGUGCCUCUCAGACUAUUGAAAUCUGUUUGACCUCCAGAUCUUGGACUCGAAGGAUUGGAGGACGCUCACCGACACCAGAGAAGUCCAUCCUAACUCGCCAUGCCGAUUCAAAUGCCGAUGUGCACUUGGAACACCUUUGAAAAUGCCCCAAAACAAUGUUCAGUCAGCAGUCUGCACAUCCCUCAGCCUUUUCAGGUUGACAGGGUUUUGGAAAUUCAGAGCCAUGGCACGUGGAGUGGGGAGGCCUGGUGAUGCUGAGCUGUGUAUCAGCCAGGCCCAAGCCAUACAUCCAAAGGUUUCUUUGUUCAUCCCGUAGACAAAAUGCAGGAUCCAGGGAACAGCCAGACAGCUUGGCAUGGCAACACUCAGGGAUACUAUGGUCCAGUUUCUCUUUUCAGUUCAUUUUUAAACGCUAGCACUGAGUGUAAGGACAGACAGUACUAGCAUCCCCUCCCCGCCCCCCCGCUGUUUACUGUUCUAGAAACAAGGGUCUAGUUAGGGUACCCAUCCCACACUGGAACUACCCAGCAGUGAGGGGCAGGGACAGAGGUCUGGAAUCAUUUUGUUUGGGUAAGGAUAACAGAAUAGAGAGAUCUUAGCAGAGGCUUCUGCUAAGGAGAUGCAGAACCCCUGCCUUACCUGGUGUCUUCCUCAUUCUGAGCUAACAAGUACUUCUUCCGCAUUAACUCUUGCCGUGGGUGAUCUUAACGCCUGGUGGAAAUUCCUGCAUUCCCCCAGGCAGCUGGGAUCAAACAAGGCCAGCCAGUGACUGGAGGGCUGGAGUGAGUAGGCAGCUGGUAAAAAAAAUCUGAGAGAAUAGCACAGAAUCUGGAUAGUCUUGGGUCCUUACCUUAGAGUGCGCUGAUCCCUAUCACUGCGUUUACUUCUGUCAAGUUAAGAUUUGGGGGGGGGGGUUCCUCAAAGUAACAGUUCCUGCCUUGCCCCCCAUUUCUAGCAGGAUGACUGUGACCUCCUCCCUACCCCCUCCAACGGGUCAUUUGCAAGCAUCCUGUGCCUCACCCGUGACCCCAUGGACUCCCAGAGGGCAGGGAAAUGCCUGUUUCAUUCCUUAGGGCCUAGGGGCUCAGUGCCCGGGAAGCCUUUACCUCAGGCAACUUCUCCUCCCAAUGUCACGGUUUCCCAGAGAUAGGUCUAAUCUUCCCAAACCAUGAACGUCUCAUACCUCUUUGCCUGGUGGAGAGGAAGCGGAGUGUGGCCCAGGCUGUAGCCUGGCAUCCGAUCCAGUGUUUCAGUGUCGCUGAAGGCUGCACUGAAAACAGAUUUGCCAGAUAGAAUUUUCCUGGCUCUGCUUCUCCAACGUUCCUGACAAGCCUGGUUCUCCCUGAAGGCACACCAGGGCAAGAAUAGGACAGGUUUGGCUAACCUGGCAUCAGGCAGUGACCUCACCUGGCUCCAGGUAUGACCCUCAGACAGUUGUUGCACUGGGCAGAUGCGAUUUUUACCCUCUUGCAAGACGCAAAGCUACCCCGGGUAUUUUCCCGGAACAGAAUCAAGAUAUUAAGGGCUGCUGGUGUCCACUUGGAACUGAUGGAAAUUCCAUCUCAUUUGUUGCAGAAGUGUUUGAAAGACGAUACAAUGGCAAAAUGGCGUGCCAUCCCUUCCCUGGAGUUCACAAUGAAAAAACGGGGACAGAGACCCAGCUAUUUGAAUCUUGGGUAUCUCUUAGGAAAUCUUGUUCAGGAGAUCUUUUUCUCCUGUAUUCCUGACCUGCCUCAACCUUGCUCUCUCCCA
ensembl:lncRNA